AGAUGUGAGGGUGAUCUGGCUUCGACAUCUGUCACCCCAUUGAUUGCCAGGAUUAAUUCGGCUGAUCUGACUGGCUAGGCGGGUGUCCUCUUCCUCCCUUAUCACUCUAUGUUUGUCUCUCCCAAGGCUGCAAGCUUGGUCGAAGAGGAAGACCUUCCCCAAAUAGAGGAGAUCUUGUCUUUGGUCAAGGUAUUCAAGUAGCUGCACUCCCCUGCUAGAACCUCCAAACAAAACGAAACUCCACACUCAGAAGAUACCAUUAUAGCAAACACUCUGACCUCCCUGGACAUAGAGUGCUGAACUGCCGGCCAUCU
rfam:Cricetulus griseus cell line CHO-K1, whole genome shotgun sequence.